rnacentral:pre_miRNA from 1 species
UUGGUUUAAAUCAUUGUGAAUCUACACGUUGGAAAUUGAACAUACACAAAGGGGUGGAACAUACAUUGAUUUCAUCUAA